rnacentral:misc_RNA from 1 species
GAAAUGCGAUAAGUAAUGUGAAUUGCAGAAUUCCGUGAAUCAUCGAAUCUUUGAACGCACAUUGCGCCCCCUGGCAUUCCGGGGGGCAUGCCUGUCCGAGCGUCAUUUCUGCCCUCAAGCACGGCUUGUGUGUUGGGUGUGGUCCCCUCCCUGGCGGGGGGACCUGCCCGAAAGGCAGCGGCGACGUCGCGUCCGGUCCUCGAGCGUAUGGGGCUUUGUCACUCGCUCGGGAAGGAUUGGCGCAACGUCUGUCACCCACUGUAUUAUUUUACCACGGUUGACCUCGGAUCAGGUAGGAGUUACCCGCUGAACUUAA